GCCUGUAGCUCAGUUGGUUAGAGCACUCGACUCAUAAUCGAAUGGUCGUAGGUUCAAGUCCUACCAGGCCC
rnacentral:tRNA from 1 species